AACGCAGCGAAAUGCGAUACUUGGUGUGAAUUGCAGAAUCCCGUGAACCAUCGAGUCUUUGAACGCAAGUUGCGCCCGAAGCCAUUAGGCCGAGGGCACGUCUGCCUGGGCGUCACGCAUCGCGUCUCCCCCACACACUAUGCCCAAACUAAGGGAAGCUGUGAUGCGUGGGAUGGAUAUU
rnacentral:rRNA from 2 species